CCCUAUGAAGUUGUUCAUUUCCACUGCUGUGUAUUCCUCUUUCAACCGGCUACACUCUUCAGCCACCAACACAAUACAGACUCAGAGAUAACAGUUUCUCCAUUUCUCAAUAUUCCUCUCUUCUUCAACUCUCUGGAUCUAAAUGUCUUCAACUUCAAUCGAGUAAAACCGAAACGAUGGCGGAAACCGCAAUUUUCUUCGCCGCCACCGGAGAACCUCCUCUGCUACGAUUCUUCAACAGCACCUUUCUCUACGUCAAACGGAACCUCAUCGCUCACAUUCUCCGCUCCCUAAACGACGCCUUCUCACACCACAGGAUUUGCUGCGACGUCGACGCAGCGGUCGAGAAAAAGUGCGAGGUGUACGCGGGAGAUUCCUCGUCGAACGACACGAGUUUCGGCGCCGACGAGAAUGGACGGCACGCCGUUUUCAAUGUGCUGGAUACUAUGCUUAAGGAUAGUUUAGAGCGGCUGAAGAUGAUGAGGGAAAAUCUAUGUUUGGUAAAGAUAGGUCUAACUAUGGGAUAUGCUUGUGAAUUCAAGUAUGCUGAACAUACAGCUACUAUUAGGAGUUUGUGCUUGGAAAGUAAGUUGGGAGCAGCUCUUUGGCUUCGAAGGAAAAUGGUUAUGAAAGGUGUUGCUCCUGAUGUGUUUACCCACAACCAUAUUGUAAACGGGCUGUGCAAAAGUGGUUUUCUGGAGAAAGCAGAUUGGAUUGUUAGAGAGAUGCUAGCAUUUGGUCCUGGUCCCAAUUGCGCGACUUAUAACACUUUGAUCAAGGGCUAUUGCACUGUUAAUGACAUGGACAGGGCUUUGUUUCUAUUCUCCACCAUGUCCAAUGCUGGGGUUCUGCCAAACAGGGUUACUUGUAAUAUACUGGUGCGUGCUCUGUGUGAGAAAGGUCUUCUAAAGGGAGCUAAAAGGAUGCUCGAAGAAAUAUUGAAGGAUGAUGACGAGAAAGAUAUAACUGAUUUAGUGACCUCUACUAUAUUUAUGGAUAACUACUUUAAGAGAGGAGCAAUUAUUCAGGCUAUUAGUCUUUGGAAUGAGAUGGUUCAAAAUUGUACUAAAGUUGAUGUUGUAGCUUAUAAUGUUCUUAUCCAUGGAUUUUGCAAGAGUCUACAAAUGAACCUUGCAUAUGGAUAUGCAUGCGAGAUGUAUAAGAAAGGUUUACUUCCUGAUGUUUUUACGUAUAAUAUUCUUAUCGGUGCUCUUUGCAAGGAAGGUAAAAUUAGUGAGGCUUGCUAUACCCUUGGAGUCAUGUCUAGUAUGGGAAUUAUGCCUGAUGAAAUUACAUACCAGCUUGUGAUUCGAGGCCUUUGUUUUGAUGGAGAGAUUGCUAGAGCAAAAAGCUUGCUUAGGUCUAUGUUGAACAAUUUAAUAGUGCCCAAGCCUUUAAUAUGGAACCUACUAAUUGACUUCUACGGACGAUAUAAUGAUCUUAGCAAUGCACUUUUUACAAGAGAUCAGAUGCUAGCUUUUGGUGUUCACCCAAAUGUAUUUACUUACAAUGCUUUAAUUCUUGCACAAGUGAAAGAUGACAAUUUCUAUGGUGCUUGCUCUCUGAAGGAAGAGAUGCUUUCAAAGGAUAUUUUUCCUGAUGUGGUUACCUAUAAUUUAUUGAUAGGUGCUGCCUGUAACUUAGGACGUCCUGAUUUUGCUCUUCAAUUACAUGAUGAGAUGGUGCGGAGAGGGUAUGAACCAGAUUUAAUAACUUAUACUGAAAUUGUUAGGGUGUUCUGUAUUAGAGGUAAGAUGAAAGAGGCAGAGGAGCUAUAUGGCAAAAUACUAAAAUCUGGUUUAUUGAAUGAUCAUGUUCCAGUGCAGAUUCUAUUUAACAAAUACUGCAACUUAGAGGAACCAGUUAGAGCAUUUAAUUUCUAUCAAGACUGGUUAGAAAGUAAAAGGGGCAGUCAUCCGUAUUACAUUUGACAUUCUGCCUGUCUUUGGACAUCCUGAAGUUUUGAAGUUCUGGAAAAAGGGCCACUUUUGCUCAAAAGUCAAACAGUAGUUUUCUGAAAUUCAGAUUUCAACUGAAAUGUUGAUGAUAGCUCUUAUCAGUAAUGCUUCAGUGAGAACUCUGGCAAGGAGCUCUGCCUAUCUACUUCUAAUGGAUGAACAAAUGAAGGUCUUGAAAAGGGUUUGGAGUGCUUGAGUUGAGGUGUUUUGCAGUUGACUGGUUGAAACAGUGGCAAAUCCUUCACCUCGGGCAGAGUAUUGGUACAACAUUGUUUGCCAGAAUACAAUGUGCAACUCGAAGCACACUAUUCAUGUUGGUGACUGAGGUAUUUGUAAGAGAUGGUUUGGGUGAGGACACAUUUGCACGAGGAGAGUGGGUUUAUUUGAUGCUAAGUCUCUAUAGCCUGCAAUUUGUUGCAAGAAAAUGAUCCAUUCCAAGUUCGCUGCUCAUUACUUACGGCCUUUUCACAUUGAGGCCAGAAUCAGUGGUGUAGCAUUGGCUGAAACUUCUUGACACAGCUUGUAUUUCUCUCUGUUCAAUCUUUCAGGUAUCUCUAUAGAACUGUACAUUAAAUAUGCAUGGCUGGGCAUGUUGUAACAUGAAAGACUCUGCAUAUUUAUGCAUAAUCUUUGCACAGCUGUCCGUGCUUCAUCAUGCAAAUUGGACUGGUCUAAUGUGAGGGUUCAGGCUCAAAAGCCUCAGCCUGCAGAAAACUCGCCCCUGAAGGGCAGAGCUUCUUGAAUCCUCAAAUUUAACUCUGUCCACUGUUGCAACUGCUAUCAUGUUGUGGUUGACAUUGUCCUGGAUCCUCUUGUCAUCUUUGGCAUGUCUUCAGCCAACAAUGUGUAUUUUGAGUUUAAUCCUAAUCAUUGUUUUGUCAAAUGCCGUGCAUCUAAUGAAGUUCUUCAUGGACAAGUUGGACUCAAUGGCCUGUAUUGGUUUUCAAGCUUGCUUCAUGCCUCUCAUACACAACAGCAACCUACUAGUUUUCCUGUUCCAAGUCUAAACACUAUUGCUUCUGAUAAUACUUUUAAUUGUAAUGCUCAUACCGGCAUUUACGGUUAGGACAUCCCAAUUUCAAUGUACUUUGUCUUAUCUUUCAGUCUUGUAAUGUAUCUUUCAAUAAUAAAAGUAGUUUACCUUUUAUUUUUCCAGCUUGUUGUAUGGGCA